UGCCACAGCCAUAUCACCCUGCAGCCCAAGACUGGUUGCCCACUGAAGCUAAGCAGGGUUGAGCCAGGUCAGUACCUGGAUGGGAGACCUCCUGGGAAAACUAGGUUGCUGUUGGAA
rnacentral:rRNA from 1 species